CCUACGGGUGGCAGCAGUGAGGAAUAUUGGUCAAUGGCCGGAAGCCUGAACCAGCCAAGCCGCGUGAGGGAGGAAGGCGCAGAGUGUCGCAGACCUCUUUUGCCGGGGGACAAAAGCCCGGACUCGUCCGCGGCUGAGGGUACCUGGAGAAAAAGCAUCGGCUAACUCCGUGCCAGCAGCCGCGGUAAUACGGAGGAUGCGAGCGUUAUCCGGAUUUACUGGGGUAAAGGGGGGCGCAGCCGGCCUGUAAAGUCAGGGUGAAAAGCCGGGGGCGAAACCCCGGAACGCCGUUGAAACUGGAGGGCUGGAGUGGGAGAGAAGUAGGCGGAAUUCGUGGUGUAGCGGUGAAAUGCGUAGAUA
rnacentral:rRNA from 1 species